rnacentral:snoRNA from 12 species
CCUCCUUUUCUUGGCGGGGAGUGGGCGUGCGGUCCCGCUCCCUGUUAUGUGUGGAGGCAGAGGGAAAGGGGCUCCAGCCCCCUCGGCGUCAUGUCUUCGGUGCCCGCGGCCUUCUAUCCGCUGGUUCUAUCCUCAAGCGCCGGGACACGU